GACGAACGCUGGCGGCGUGCUUAACACAUGCAAGUCGAACGGAAAGGCCUUGUUUCUGUUGGGUGCUGCAGUGGCGCACGGGUCGAAAACACGAGUGUCACCUGCCCUUUCCUCUCGGAUAACUUCAGGAAACUGGGGCUACUACCUGAUAUGAGCUCCUGCUGUAUGGUGGGGGUUGGAAAGUUUCGGCGGUUGGGGAUGGACUCGCGGCUUAUCAGCUUGCUGGUGGGGUAGUGGCUUACCAAGGCUUCGACGGGUAGCCGGCCUGAGAGGGUGACCGGCGACAUUGGGACGGAGAUACGGGCCAGAAGCCUACGGGAGGCAGAAGUGGGGAAUAUUGCACAAUGGGCGGAAGCCUGAUGCAGCAACGCCGCGUGCGGGAUGACGGCCUUCGGGUGGUAAACCGCUUGCGCCUGUGACGAAGCGUGAGUGACGGUAAUGGGUAAAGAAGCACCGGCUAACUACGUG
rnacentral:rRNA from 1 species